UACGAAGGGGGCUAGCGUUGCUCGGAAUGACUGGGCGUAAAGGGCGCGUAGGCGGUUUGUACAGUCAGGUGUGAAAUUCCCGGGCUCAACCCUGGACCUGCAUUCGAUACGGGCAGACUAGAGUUCGGCAGGGGAGACUGGAAUUCCUGGUGUAGCGGUGGAAUGCGCAGAUAUCAGGAGGAACACCGGUGGCGAAGGCGGGUCUCUGGGCAGUAACUGACGCUGAGGAGCGAAAGCGUGGGGAGCGAACAGG
rnacentral:rRNA from 1 species